GGCGGGCCUAACACAUGCAAGUCGAGCGAGAAAGUGGCUUCGGCCAUCAGUAAAGCGGCGGACGGGUGAGUAACACGUAGGUAAUCUUCCUUCGAGCGGGGGACAACGUUCCGAAAGGGACGCUAAUACCGCAUACGUUUCUCGGGACCUCGGUCCUGGGAAGGAAAGCUAGGUAGCAAUAUCCGGCACUCGAUGAGGAGCCUGCGUCGCAUCAGCUAGUUGGUGGGGUAAUGGCCUACCAAGGCUAAGACGCGUAGCUGGUCUGAGAGGAUGAUCAGCCACACUGAAACUGAGACACGGUUCAGACUUCUACGGGAGGCAGCAGUGGGGAAUAUUGGACAAUGGGCGCAAGCCUGAUCCAGCCACGCCGCGUGAGUGAUGAAGGCCUUCGGGUCGUAAAGCUCUGUGGGGAGGGACGAACCGCUGGAUAUUAAUACCAUCCAGCAUGACGGUACCUCCUUAGCAAGCACCGGCUAACUUCGUGCCAGCAGCCGCGGUAAUACGAAGGGUGCAAACGUUGCUCGGAAUUAUUGGGCGUAAAGCGCACGU
rnacentral:rRNA from 1 species